AUGAUCAUAGUGGGAUGACAAAACUCCUGAGCUUUGGUCCCUGACCAUGUAUAGCAGAGGAUUUGAGGGUACUUCCGAGUGGUGAGUUUGAGAUUGAUGUGGAGGCAUCGUAGUGCCGUGCCGAUUGAGGAAUCAAGUGACCACCUUUGGUGAGCGAGUUGGACGAUUCGUCGGUUCCUGUUACUAUUGGAAGGUUGGCUACCUUGGAUGUUGGUUUAGAACCGUUCGUGCCAAGCAAGAUUGGACGGAUUGAUGGACGUUGCAAAUAGCAACGAGAUGGAAGGGGUACACCAUACUUAACCUUGGAUUGAAUUGCACUCAGUUGUGCCAUCUCGAGAAGAGAUUUGAUCUUGGAUUUGAAGGAUCAUCGUUGGAAUAUGAGCCGAUAAGUGGAUGUUGCAUCACCCCUCCUUGGUGAGUGUUGAUCAGAUGAGCACUCCGAUGGAGUUUUGAUAGAUGAGUAAUGG
rnacentral:lncRNA from 1 species